GAGAAGGAAAAGAGAUCCACAGUCCUGUCCCCACUAGCAAUUCAGCCUACAGGUAUCUCAUCACCUGAGGUCAUCUUGCCCUUCAGAUCAAGCCCCUGGUCUCAGCCUGGAUUAUGGAAUCAGUCGGACAAUGCUCCAUGCUCACAAAGCCCCUCAUCCAGAGGUAAAUAGUGCCUGCAUUGCCAGCUGAUUCCUUGAAGACUCUGGACAGCUAUCUGCCAGCUGGACCACAGGCAAAUUGCUGUGCUAUGAGGAGCAAGCUUAACCAAUAGAAAGGAAGUGACAAGCUUAUUGAGUUCUUGAGAGAUACAACACUGACCUUAUGCAGCAGAGCUGAUGACACAUUCCACCUCUAAUUACAAGCCAGAGAUGAAGGGAGACUGUAUAGAGGGAAGUUCUUCCCGAAGUGUCCAAGGACCCACUGUGGAGGCAUUUCUCUCCUCACUGAGGCUGUCUGUGCCCCCUGUACCUGCCACAUUUUUUGCUCAGUGGCCAAGGGCCAG